rnacentral:rRNA from 1 species
AUUGAACGCUGGCGGCAGGCCUAACACAUGCAAGUCGAGCGGAUGAAGGGAGCUUGCUCCUGGAUUCAGCGGCGGACGGGUGAGUAAUGCCUAGGAAUCUGCCUGGUAGUGGGGGAUAACGUCCGGAAACGGGCGCUAAUACCGCAUACGUCCUGAGGGAGAAAGUGGGGGAUCUUCGGACCUCACGCUAUCAGAUGAGCCUAGGUCGGAUUAGCUAGUUGGUGGGGUAAAGGCCUACCAAGGCGACGAUCCGUAACUGGUCUGAGAGGAUGAUCAGUCACACUGGAACUGAGACACGGUCCAGACUCCUACGGGAGGCAGCAGUGGGGAAUAUUGGACAAUGGGCGAAAGCCUGAUCCAGCCAUGCCGCGUGUGUGAAGAAGGUCUUCGGAUUGUAAAGCACUUUAAGUUGGGAGGAAGGGCAGUAAGUAAAUACCUUGCUGUUUUGACGUUACCAACAGAAUAAGCACCGGCUAACUUCGUG